rnacentral:rRNA from 1 species
AUUACUCCUACGGGAGGCAGCAGUGGGGAAUAUUGCACAAUGGGCGCAAGCCUGAUGCAGCCAUGCCGCGUGUAUGAAGAAGGCCUUCGGGUUGUAAAGUACUUUCAGCGAGGAGGAAGGCGUUGUGGUUAAUAACCGCAGCGAUUGACGUUACUCGCAGAAGAAGCACCGGCUAACUCCGUGCCAGCAGCCGCGGUAAUA